rnacentral:lncRNA from 1 species
AAUUAUACUACACCUCAGGUGGUAUUAAUGGCACUAAGCCAAAUGGCUAUAAUCACACAAGAACUCUAAUAAUCUCCCUGCAAUGUUUUGGUUUGAGUGUCUUGCUGCUGAUUUUGAAAUGUCAUUUGAUACAUAAAAAUAAAGAAGAGAAUUGGUUCUCUCCAACUUAGUGGGGAUAUAGUCAUGGGAAUGACAACAAUGUCAAAGUCAGAAAGGUUCAAAUGUGUUCUGAGCUUUUUCAGUUUUUGAUUUUUUUUUCCAAUUAAUUAUACCAGUAUUAAUAGAUGUCACUGCAGUUUAUACUUUUUCAGCGUGAACUCUGAAAUAGCAUAGAUGGUCUAAUACAAACAUGAUUUUGAUUCUUUACAGGCAAGAACAAAUCCAGACAAGAUUUGGAAGAGCUCUUUCAUCAGAUCAAAAUAUUUAUAAUGUCAAUGCCAAUCAGGUAGAAUUUCUGUGCAAUAUAUUUUUUUUUCAUUUAUGAAUAUGAUAUUUUUGGAGCAAGUGUUUGUACAAUGCUUUUGAAUUCCAUUGCUUUUAAAAAGUAUAACAUGACUUUGCAAAAAAUAGUGUGACUUUUUUUUUUUUGUAAUAAUUUUGGGAGGAAAAAAAAAAAAAAGGAUUAUACAGACCCAGUGCCACAAAAGGACUUUAAAACAAAACAGGCAGAAUAGACAUUGCAGCAACCUGACCUACAACAAAAUCCCUCACCAAAUGUAUUAGUGCUUAUUUCCACAGAUACUCAAUAUUACUGCACAUGGCCAUAGACAUACCAGUAUGGUAAGGCUAUGAAGGAAGGAUCAGCCUUGUCUUCUGGCUGAGGAAAUGCAGAGAUAUCUGCCAUUCUUCUUGAUGACAACUUUCUCUCUUUUGAGAGGGUGUCACAUUCAACUCCUAAACUGGAAGAUAUUCCCACUUUUAAAGAGAUAACUGAAUUUCUCUAAAUCACAGACUGGGAGCACUCCCUUGCAAGUGCUACAGACUGGUAUACAAAGGCAGCAAUCAACCAGCUCUGCCUUCCUGUGCCUGAGCUCCCAAAUUGCUGGGCUGCAGUCCCUAGAACAGCUGGCUGUGAUCAUAUUCUCACUUAAACAUGCAUACUUUUUUGCUCACACAACAUCAAAUAUGUUAAAUCUCUUUCUUCCCCUGUUCACAGAUGAUGGAUCGCUGCACCUUCUUAGAGAAACAGCUGUAUUCCAAAAUUCAGCCGUAGAGGAUUGAGAGCCCACUUGGGGAAACUGUAAAAAAUCUUUAAGAAUGAAGCAGCCACCUCAAUUUUAUCAGUAAGUUUCAAAGCACUGAAUGAAAAACUAUGGUUAAGUUAUAAAUAUGUUUUUCACUCCCCUACUGCAUCUGCUGUACAGCAGCACAGACAGACAUGCAACUGACAUUCAGCCAUUCUUUUUUUUGCAUCAUCAAGAGCUUCUGAUCUUUCAUACUGUUGCAGGCUUUACAAACCUGGAGAUCUGAAUGAGCAUCUUAGUAACUGUUAAGCUUAUACAAGCAAAUUCACUGUAAAACAUCAUUUAUCUGACUGUAUAUUUGUGUUGGAUUGCAUUUUCCUAGUUAGCAAUGUAUUUUAGCUCAAAGUUUAACAGAUCAUUGCACCAAUAGUUUCACAAGGUUGUCAUGAAAAAC